rnacentral:lncRNA from 1 species
AGCAGGACGGGUAGGUUUAUAGGUGCGGGCCGAACAUCCUUUGUGUUGUCUAGAUUCCGUGAGCCUCCCCAAUAGAACAGUAGAUCAUCCUUACCAAGGUUAGAACGAGACUACGGUUGCAGUCUUCUCUAUACAUCACUCACAUCGAGAAACAUUCUUUGUAGCCUAAAGGGGUAGUAGCAAUAGAUUUGGUUAGUCAGAUGCACCCUUUCUCCCAGUGGUAAAAAUAUAAAUACGAUAACUCUGGAUAACCUCCCGGGUGAAAUGCUCACCGAUAUCCGUGCGCUUGCGGAUCAUUUUCUAAUUGCGUUACCAAAUAUCAACACAUACUUGUCUCUGAUAUGUGGUAGCAGCCCCUGGAAAAGUCAAAUCGCCUAGCUGCCGAUCAUCCAGAACCACACUAUAGCACUUAUUCUUAACCUCUCGCAAUCUCUGCACAAAGCUCUCAACCGAUUCAUCAUUGCGUUGUUUCAGCCUGACUAGAUCGGUAAUCUUCUUCACGUGAACUCCAGAAAAGAAGUAUUUAUGGAAUUGUUUCUCUAGAUUGGCCCAAGUGAUCACUGAAUUAGGAGGUAAUGAAAUAAACCAAGUAAAGGCCGAUCUAGACAAAGAUGACGAGAACAAACGAACCCUUAACUCGUCUCUGUUAGC